rnacentral:rRNA from 1 species
CCUACGAGGCGCAGCAGUGAGGAAUAUUGGUCAAUGGACGCAAGUCUGAACCAGCCAUGCCGCGUGCAGGAUGACGGCUCUAUGAGUUGUAAACUGCUUUUGUACGAGGGUAAACCCCGAUACGUGUAUCGGGUUGAAAGUAUCGUACGACUAAGGCGCGGCUAACUCCGUGCCAGCAGCCGCGGUAAUACGGCGGAUCCGAGCGUUCUCCGGAUUUCUUGGGUUUAAAGGGUGCAUAGGCGGUUUGAUAAGUUAGAGGUGAAAUGUCGGGGCUCAACCCCGCAACUGCCUCUAAUACUGUGGGACUAGAGAAUAGUUGCGGUAGGCGGAAUGUAUGGUGUAGCGGUGAAAUGCUUAGAGAUCAUACAGAACACCGAUUGCGAAGGCAGCUUACCAAACUAUAUCUGACGUUGAGGCACGAAAGCGUGGGUAGCAAACAGGAUUAGAUACCCUAGUAGUC